rnacentral:rRNA from 1 species
GACAGAGGCCCCAAGCGUUAGGCGAAAUCACUGGGCUUAAAGCGUGUGUAGGCGGACGCCUAAGUGUCUUGUGAAAUCCCACGGCUCACCCGUGGAACUGCUGGGCAUACUGGGCGUCUUGGGCCAACUAGGGGCAGCCGGAACAAGCGGUGGAGCGGUGAAAUGCGUAGAUAUCGCUUGGAACGCCGAAGGUGAAAACAGGCUGCUGGGGUUGUGCCGACGCUGAGACACGAAAGCCAGGGGAGCAAACGGG